rnacentral:rRNA from 1 species
UACGUAGGGUGCAAGCGUUAAUCGGAAUUACUGGGCGUAAAGCGUGCGCAGGCGGUUAUGUAAGACAGGUGUGAAAUCCCCGGGCUUAACCUGGGAACUGCAUUUGUGACUGCAUAGCUAGAGUACGGUAGAGGGGGAUGGAAUUCCGCGUGUAGCAGUGAAAUGCGUAGAUAUGCGGAGGAACACCGAUGGCGAAGGCAAUCCCCUGGACCUGUACUGACGCUCAUGCACGAAAGCGUGGGUAGCAAACAGG